AGUGAACGCUGGCGGUAGGCCUAACACAUGCAAGUCGAACGGCAGCACAGUAAGAGCUUGCUCUUACGGGUGGCGAGUGGCGGACGGGUGAGGAAUACAUCGGAAUCUACUUUUUCGUGGGGGAUAAUGUAGGGAAACUUACGCUAAUACCGCAUACGUCCUACGGGUGAAAGCAGGGGAUCUUCGGACCUUGCGCGAUUGAAUGAGCCGAUGUCGGAUUAGCUAGUUGGCGGGGUAAAGGCCCACCAAGGCGACGAUCCGUAGCUGGUCUGAGAGGAUGAUCAGCCACACUGGAACUGAGACACGGUCCAGACUCCUACGGGAGGCGGCAGUGGGGAAUAUUGGACAAUGGGCGCAAGCCUGAUCCAGCCAUACCGCGUGGGUGAAGAAGGCCUUCGGGUUGUAAAGCCCUUUUGUUGGGAAAGAAAAGCAGCAGGUUAAUACCCCGCUGUUCUGACGGUACCCAAAGAAUAAGCACCGGCUAACUUCGUG
rnacentral:rRNA from 1 species